ACCUACAACAAGAGAAUGUUGUAAAGCAGUGAUGCUAGUUAAACUUGAUAAAUCUGGAAAAUGGGUCGUUACAAGAGUUGUUAAGGACCAUGCUCAUCCACUUAUAGUUUCUUCCGGGAAUUCUAUGAAGUGCAUUACCUGCAACCUCUGAGUCUGAUUUUCUUUCAAGUAAACAUUCGCAGGACGCUGAGGAUAUGAAGAUUGCGGAACUCACCAUGGACCUGGGGUGUGAAGAGCAAUUAUGUGGACAAUACCAUGAGCUACUACCUACAUUGCUGAAUAAUGUUGAGGAGGAGACGGAACUGAUAGCAACGAAAGUUAGAGGAGUCGUUAACUAUGUAAGAGAAUUUGAGACUGACGUUGAAGGGCUUCCACAAAAUCAAAUGGAGGCCAUAGUUCGAGGGCUUCCUCCAAAUCAAACGGUGACUGAAUCGGGCCACAAUUAGAGACAGAAUUAUGGCUCUGUGCAUACUGGGUGCAUGAGGAUUCGACUGAUGUUCUCCUGGAGAGUAUUCUGACAGACUAACAUACGUACGGCAGAAAUGUCUUGAACCAUAAAAGUUUAGUGAAUGGAAUGCCCUUCAGGCAAAUAGUUGCUUUGGACUCCCAUUGUGCUCGGCCGAGGCCUUAUUGCUGUCGUUCAUAAUUUCUUUAAUUUUCUUUUUUCGGUCCAGGUGUUUUUGGAUCCCUCUUACUGCAGAAACUGGACAACUAUGAUCAUGAUACUGAUAAAGUCUGAUAUAAGAAUUCCUGGCAUUCUAUUUUU